CGAAUAUCCUGUAUUAAAAUGCGUCGUUCAAUUUUCUACAUUUAUUGAAUGACCUUGAUCAUAAACAUAUUUUAAUCCAUGCUCAUAUGUGGUAUUUGUAUUGAGAUUCGAUGAGAUAACACUACAACAUGUCCACAAUGAAAUUCCUCGUACUUAUUUCAGUCAUACUUGUAGUCGGUUUUGGGCCAAACGAAGUUGACAGUAGACAUAGUGAACCCGGUUAUAGGGGUGCUGAAAGAGUGGGAGGAGGAUUUGCACUUAUAGAUUACAAGUGUUCCUGUUGUGUCGACAGAAGACCUCGAUUUGGGUGCUGUAUUCCGACGUGUGAUGAAUGUUCAUGUUGUUUCGACAUACUACGUCGUUUUGGGUGCUGUGAUCCAGCAUGUGCUGAUUAUUAAAUGAACUUGUUAAAGGAAUGUAUUAAAAUUUUACAAUAAUA